UUUCUGCCCCAGUUGUAAUUCACAUGCCAGACUUGGUGUCUGAGCAAGCCACAACACACCCAUCAGCAAGUGCUCCUGUUGCAUCUUCCACACAGAUUAUUGGAUUCCCUUCACCGGUCAUUCCAGCCUCACCACAUGUCUCAGAAAAUGCUGGCAUUCCGACUCCUUCUGAAAUUCUUGUUUCAAAGCCAACACCAGGUCCAAAACCAACUCCUGCACCAAAACCAACAGUUAUACCAAAACCUAAACAGGAAAUAGUCCCUACUCCAGAUAGUCUUUCAUCCUUUACACUGGAUUCAGCUCAAGAUCAAGAUUUAGUUCAGAAACCUUUGGCCGGUGCAAUACAUGCAUCACUUUCAGCUGCUAAAUCAGCCUCUAUAGACAAACAAGCUGUUGCACAAAUAAUUGCUCCAAAAGUAGACUAUGUAAAAACUCAUACUACUACUGUUGUUACACCCAUUGUUCAGUCUCAAAAAGGACCUUUAACACAAACUUCUGUUGUUGUUCAAAUGCCCGAUCUUGUGUCCCCUGCAUUAGGCCAUCCAGUUCUAGAACAAACUCCAGUUUCAGCGCCUAACCUGCCAUCCACUGCACUCAGGAAUCAGAUUCCUACAACUACCACCAUUGUUGCUCAAAUGCCAGAACUGGUUACAUCUCCAUCUCAAUCAAUCUCUGUGACUUUUCCAGUACCUUCUCUAUCCUAUGCCCCACUUCCAGCUACAGUUUCAGCAGUGGACCAACCACCUAUUUCUGUUCCAACAAUGGUAUCAGCCUCAAUACCAGCAAAGGUUCUCUCUACAGACCAGACCAGACAAGUGGCCACACCAUCAUCUGCUCAAUCCAGUAUUCCUGCUUCAGCAAAAGAGACUCAGCCACCAAACAGUGUUUCUAUUCAAAUUCCUAUUCAGAGGCCAGAAGAAACCAUAUCACACAUGGCACCCCAGUUAGGCCAGCCAGCCACUAUUUCUCCUCUAGCAGGUCAUAGAGAGCAUAUUGCUGCAAAGACAGUCUCUGUUGUUUCUCCCACUGUUACUACAACUGUUGCUUUUGGAACUUCACCCUCCCAACCAGUUCAAUCAAUGCUGACCAAUAUUCAGCCAAGAAUGGUGGAAAUGCAGAAGGAAAAUGUACCAGAUGAUGGAAUUUCUCCACAACAGUCAGUUUCACAAAUCAUUUCUCCUGUUGUACAGACAGAGCAAGGUCAAGUUGUUGUCAGAUUGCCAAAUCUUGAAAAUGUGGCAUUUAAAACAACUAUUGAAGAUGGGAGAGGCCACCCCCUUUUUGUUAAUGUUUCUCCUUUUGCUUAUCCAGCCACAAUGUCAAGUUUCAUCACUGAUUCAACAGUUCCACAUUGUGUGACAUCUGCAAAACCCCAUGUUUCUCAAGAAAGAACAGAUAAACCAGUGAUUUCAUUUCCACCACCUCCUCAAGCUUCACCACCAGAAUUGCCAUAUAGUGCAGUACCCAAGGCUGAUUUUAACCAGCAAAAGACUAUUCCAACUCCCUCAUCAGGUACACCAACUCUACCCGAACCCCCACCAAAUGUGGCCAGUGUAAAUAUAAAACCAGCUGUGACCCCAACAUACAAAUCACCACCCCCUGUUCCCCCCAAACCUGUAUGUAUUCCACCAGGACUGGUAUUUAGUCACAGAUCAAGAGAGAGCGUUAAGCCACCAGUUAGUCCCGAGCCAGUAGUUGUUCAAGCAGUUCGUGCUGCAACUUUGCCAAGAACAAGGGAACCUCCAAAUGCAUUGUCACUAAGUUUGACUGCCCCUGUAGAGACCAAGCACAGUGCUUUAUCACCAAAAUCACCUUUGUCACCCAGAUUUGCUAGAACUCUUGAAACAUAUGUGGUGAUAACAUUGCCCUCAGAACCAGGAUCACCUGUCGAGGGCAUUACAACUCAAGCACCAAUGAGAAGAUCAUCAUUGCCGACUCCCAGACAGCAGGUUCCAUCUGAUGCUCCAAGAGUGUUUGCUCCAGCUUCAGUGGAUGCACCUGUGUCAUUAAUUUCAGCACAAAUUGUAGCAGCCCCACCAAAGCCUACCACAGCUUUAAAUACAGCUGUGCCCCUUGAAGUGAUGGCACCUGACUUUGCUUCAGUCACAACAGAGACUCAUCAUUUCACACUAGCUGAAGUUUCAAAACAAAGUAUUACGGAACCUUGUGUAACAAUCCCAGAUUUGCCAGUUGCUUCUGUACAAACAUUUGUUUCAGAACCUCUUGUAGUGCCAUCAUCAGGAGUAGCACAGUAUAUGGCUGUUGUUCCUCAUAUCACAAUGGAGAAUACAAUGUAUUCCCCAUCUGCAAUUAUAACACCAAAUGAUACAGCAUCAGUUGUAGUGAUUUCUGCAGCACCUGUUGCAGAUGCACCACCAACGCCCAUUGCUAUGGAACCAACAGCAUAUCCAGCAAUGGUGUACCCCACACCUUCCUUGAUUUCUCCUCUUCUCUUAGCUCCACUGUCAGGAGUUUCUGCUGAUUUUGUUCCUCACAAUACAGUGAGUGGUGUGCAACAAGAACUUGAAAUGCUACAAAUGCAAACAACAUAUUCUGCUCCAAUAACAAUAACCCAGAUUCCAAUCCCAGCUCAAAAUGAAGACAUUCCUGGUUUGGAUAUGGAAGAAGUACUAAUAGUCUCAGCUUCCGAAGAGGUCUUAACUGAACUGGGUCCAUCACCAGUACCAAUAACACAGCUUCAAGACCACCAAGCAGUUUAUGAGCAAAAAAAAGAAAUCCCAGCAAUGACCUCUGCAACAACUGUGCCACCAGUACCAGUCACAUUUACACAAUUUGCUAAAUCUAUUGAGAGUCAAGAAAUUUGUGGAAAAGAUAAAGUUAUAUCAAGCAUGAGCCAAGUCUACUCUGCAAUCUCAACAACUGAGCAGCAUCCUGAUGCAUUGCCUAAUCUUGUA
ensembl:lncRNA